rnacentral:misc_RNA from 1 species
CCUUUUUGUGAACUUUUUUUUUGUUAGUCUCGGGGUCUAUUUAACGCGGCGCCAGGGGCGCCGCGACGUGCGGUACGUUGGGGCCCACGGCGUAGGGCUCGGGACGAGCUUUCCGAAACGUACUCACGGGCCCCGUGAGUCCAUCGGGAUCGAAAGUUAUGCACGGGAACGCAGGGACGCGCGGAUUCCGUUAAUUGAGAAAUUCCAAUUUUCGUAUGUAAGUAGUCCUCCGUCAAUUGCUCGGAAAUUGCGCGACGGGUCCUUGAAAGAAAGCGGGAAGUUGAACACUUAGGAGUUUUCUCGAGAAGAGAAAGCGAUUCGCUUCAAGUAAAUUUGCAAUGCACAA